GUCAAUAUUGAUCAAUGUCAGUUGGGUGGAAAAACACAGAGGGGGAAAUAGCUUGUCAAAAGUGUAAGUAGAUACUUAUGAAUAAUAGAAUAGCCUACAUUCAGUUUUCCACAAGGCAUAAAAGUCUAAUCUGUAAUGUGAGGAAACAGUGACGUCAGUGCAAACACGCACAUCUACAUGUUUUGUGUUUUGAUCGGAUGUGUGGGUUGUAGUUGACAAAAGCAAGGGGAGGUGUUUGGAGAAGACUUACUGUAUGACAAUCUGAAGAAAACCUCAAUAGAAGAAAAGAACCCAUUACCGCUGUCACCGUCUUAUUAACACUGACUCUGCUUUCAGAUGAUGGAACUCUGUAAAGAGUCUGACAUCAUGAGCGUUCCCCUCUGAAAUCAGCUGAGAAAUGUUGAGUGUAUAAAAAUAAAAUUCAGGAAGGUAAACAUUUUUGGAAGGCUCACAAAGGUCUAAUAGGUACCAAGUGGGUAAGUUAAAUAAACCAAAUAAUGGGGCAAUGUAGAGCAGAGAAAAGUAUUUGAUAAGGCCAUGGCCCCACAAUCCCCGCGAUGACAACACCAGCACGAGACCCAGUCUGCGGCAGCCAGGACUUUGGCACUGUGUCAGCGUGGGCAGCCCUCUUAUCCACUAUACUGGUAAUGGGAUGUAGUCAGAGAGAGUACAGUAAGACUGAAUGCAAACUGUUAUCAUGGACUGUCCCUGAUAACACACCAGUGUUGUGUUGCAUUAUAUUCACCCAUGGACUUUACUCCAAAACAGUGCAUAAAAACAUCACCAUAGGAACUAGGAGCAACUGUCAGAUUAAAUAGUUUAUUGUAUCUGACUAAAUAAAUCCUUGGAUUGUGUCACAGCCUAUUUUCCAGAUUUGACUGGAAAAACAUAUUAAAACAACAUUAAACAAAUGGUAUUCAUUCAUAAAAAAUGUUUUGUUGGUGCAAAUGUAAGACGUAAUGUAACUGACCAAAAAGGAGGUCAAAACUCAGACAAUAUAAUUUUUACCAACAAUAACUAAAGUUUAUGGUCUUAAUAAGCCACAUAAAUGAAACAGUAUGACACUUACAAUCAACAGCAGAAUAUAAACUCCACAGAGGCUGCAGCCACAAACACACAUAUUAAAAGGAAGAAAGAGCGCUCCACAGGUUUUUCAUGUGUCGUGUACACAGAUACACAACACUAACUUGCCAGGCAACAUUGACGUUCUCAUUUGGAAAGCGCUACAAUCAUCCAUGAGUUUGUUGUUGUACUCACCUGAACAUCUGGACACCGCUCCGUUCAUUCUGUGAGUCUACAAUAUUGCUAACCUCAACCCAUAACGACAAGUUUUUUUAUUAUAUUACAUUGUUGUACUUUGCACAAUCGGCUAAGCUAGGCCAGGUUGUGACUGCACCCCACACCCCUGUUAGUGUCAGCUGAGUGCACAGUGGCACCUCUCUGGAGCUCUGCCCUUCUGCAGCUACAGAUGCACCAGCAGCUUCUUCUCUGCUGCAGAUGCUUACUUUUUCAUUAGACUUUUUCUUCCGUAGUGGAUGUGACUUGAAAUGUUGAGAAAUACAAUACUUGAGACAAAAAGCACCAUAAAAGUAAAAGUAAAAUUAGGCAAUUUACUGAUUUUUAAAUAAUACUCAAACACACAAUUAAUGACUUUGUUACAGUAAUGAGAUUAAGUUUGUUACUUCCACCCCUGCUGAAAACCACUGGAAACAUUCCCUUGUGUAGAGAGGAAAACUAUUUGAGUGAAAAAUGUUCUUUGAGUCGCCUGCUGGAGGAGCUGUUGCUAUCAGAGGAGAUGAGAGGAAGGAGGAACAACUGGCGACAAAGCUGUGCACUCUGUGACUUCAUUUCAUUCUUCAAUGGCAUUUUGGUGACAAUAAAACAUGGUUGAUUGUCAUGCACACACACAAACAUGAUGGACCCUUCUUAAUAACACCCAAAACCUAGUGAAGGAGAACUAAACUGGAGAUUUGUUCAUAGAUCAUGUUGUUUUCAAGCUUAUAUGCAGAAAUAAAGAGGCUGCACCAGUACAUGUACUAUACUAUACUAUGCAUUCAAAAGAUACGUGAAAAGGAAGUGAAGCCAAAGAAAUAACUUGGACCCAGCAGUUUAAAAUUCACUUCUUUAAUGGUAAAAAUAAGAACAACAUUAAGCAUCUUGUGUUGUACUAUUUGUGUUGUUGUACUAUUUGUGUUAUCUGUUGUUACUGUUGUACUAUUUGUGUUAUCUGUUGUUUGUGGAUUCGUACUGUUGUGGAUUUUUACUGUUUUUUCUUUUUUCUCUUGUACAUAGUGUUUUUUAUUUAUUAUUUUUCCUACCCCUACUGUUUUUAUACUGUUUUUUUUUUUUUUCUCUCUAUCCACUUUGCUGCUGCAACAUUGGAAUUUCCCCAUUGUGGGACAAAUAAAGGAAUAUCUUAUCUUAUCUUCUGAAAAAUACUAACAUUUGUCUUCUGGAAUAAAGUGGAUUUGCACUCUU